rnacentral:rRNA from 1 species
UUUUGUAGGAGAGAGCUAGGUAGGGGAUUGCUGCCUUGGGCGUAUCCGUGUAUGCGUGCGGUGUCCAAGGAGUAGGAGGGGGGCUAACGGGGUUACGGUGGACGUUCGGUACCCCCGGCGGGGGAUCUACGUAACGGCCAGGAAGAGGUGCGCGGUGGCGGAGGGAAUGCUCCUGUGGGGCGGUACCCAGAGUCAACCGCGGUGCUGCCGGUACCGGAGGGGUGGGCGGCUACGAGGUCUAGGUCGGUAGCAACUGGAGGAGAUGUAGUCAAUAGGCAGUUCCAUCCCCCGCACCGAGAUAAAUAGAAGGGCGCACGUGGCACAGGCACAUAGGAUCCCGUUCCCACGAACACUCUAGCCCUCUACUAGUUUUCCUCCUUCUCCUCUAGGUACCAACCCCUAUGUAGGUUGCUGGAUCCGUAGUAGGACUGCAGCAUGAGCUUCGGGCGUAGGUGACGGAGGAGUUAGAUACAAUCAGACGUCGUCGUUCCUCUAUCUUUCCUCCCAGUCGUACUUACCUUGCAUAGGGGAAGGUCUCCUGAGCGGGAUUGAUCGGACGUGCACGAGACAUACUAUACACCACCUACCCCUUCGCCUCCGCUGCUGACCACCAACAAGACAAAUAUGGACCGUACCAAGUCUCCGAUACCUCUUCCGCAAAAAAGUGAGCAUAAACCACUAUCCCAUCGCAUGUACUUGUCUUUUUAACAUCUUCCGCUCCUCCUGUUAUACUCGCUCGUUUGUAAUACACCCAUAACUCUACAUCUAGGUGGAAGUGGCCGUAGUAUGCGAACAGACACUGGAGGGUGGUCGCUGCGGGACUCCAGUGGGUGUGUUCGCUGGUUCGUUAAGGUGCAACAGUGGGACGAUGAAGCGGUUCCUGUAGUUCCUCCAGCACCUACUCUCGAUGACAGGAGGAGCCUCUUGAACGGUCACGGGGUACGCAUACUUCUUCUCCCUUCUGUGAGCGUACCUACGAGUUCCUUUAUGUGGUCUAGCCCGCUCCCUGUACUAAACCCUACGCCGGCGCACAACCCGCGUGGGUGCUGGGUUGCCUGUCCCCACUUGGGUAACGGCGGGGUUUCCUUGUUUUAGGCCGGUUUGGCCUGCAGGCACGCCACCUCAACCGGAAUACACACUGUGGGUUAUACACUUAACAAGUGAAAGUGCGUCCAGUCACUAGCGGACUAGCCAAACACUACUAUAACUUACCUAUGAGACUUUCAACCCUUGUGUUUGAUCUCAUACCACUUGAAUUAAAGCGAGCUUGCAACUGACACCAGUUCUUUUUCUCCCUGAUGUUCAACGUCCACCUCAGCGUACCUCAGAAAACUCAUCGUCGUUAUGAUACCCUAUUUGAGUUCAGGUUACAUGUACUUUCAAACUGUGUACCUGCUUAAGUCCCACCACCUCUUAUAAGCGGUUCCACCUCAAACAACCUUAAUACAGCUUAUAUCACAUGUUCCACUUAUAUCUCAGCACAGGUUCAUCCUGUGAACAUAGGAUCCGGAAAGUAUAUAUUACUCCCAUCUGUGUGCUACAUUGUAUACGGUUGUAUUAUCGUGUUCGUGUGUCGUUCACGGUUGCCGGUGACGGCCGUGGGCCUCCCGACAACACGCCAUAACAUCGUCACAGUGCUCCUCCUCGUGGACAUCAGUUGGGGCCCCUACAUCGGUAUAGCUACUUGGAGCAAUUGUUUAGAGCCGCAGCACGGAGAACACUAACGAACCAGGAACCUACUAGCUGAUGCGCGGAACCAAAUUAAGAUUGUUAUACAACAAAAAUUAAUUACCUAUUAUAGU